UAUACAUGCAGUCGAGCGGACAGAUGGGAGCUUGCUCCCUGAUGUUAGCGGCGGACGGGUGAGUAACACGUGGGUAACCUGCCUGUAAGACUGGGAUAACUCCGGGAAACCGGGGCUAAUACCGGAUGCUUGUUUGAACCGCAUGGUUCAAACAUAAAAGGUGGCUUCGGCUACCACUUACAGAUGGACCCGCGGCGCAUUAGCUAGUUGGUGAGGUAAUGGCUCACCAAGGCAACGAUGCGUAGCCGACCUGAGAGGGUGAUCGGCCACACUGGGACUGAGACACGGCCCAGACUCCUACGGGAGGCAGCAGUAGGGAAUCUUCCGCAAUGGACGAAAGUCUGACGGAGCAACGCCGCGUGAGUGAUGAAGGUUUUCGGAUCGUAAAGCUCUGUUGUUAGGGAAGAACAAGUACCGUUCGAAUAGGGCGGUACCUUGACGGUACCUAACCAGAAAGCCACGGCUAACUACGUGCCAGCAGCCGCGGUAAUACGUAGGUGGCAAGCGUUGUCCGGAAUUAUUGGGCGUAAAGGGCUCGCAGGCGGUUUCUUAAGUCUGAUGUGAAAGCCCCCGGCUCAACCGGGGAGGGUCAUUGGAAACUGGGGAACUUGAGUGCAGAAGAGGAGAGUGGAAUUCCACGUGUAGCGGUGAAAUGCGUAGAGAUGUGGAGGAACACCAGUGGCGAAGGCGACUCUCUGGUCUGUAACUGACGCUGAGGAGCGAAAGCGUGGGGAGCGAACAGGAUUAGAUACCCUGGUAGUCCACGCCGUAAACGAUGAGUGCUAAGUGUUUAGGGGGUUUCCGCCCCUUAGUGCUGCAGCUAACGCAUUAAGCACUCCGCCUGGGGGAGUACGGUCGCAAGACUGAAACUCAAAGGAAUUGACGGGGGCCCGCACAAGCGGUGGAGCAUGGUGGUUUAAUUCGAAGCAACGCGAAGAACCUUACCAGGUCUUGACAUCCUCUGACAAUCCUAGAAGAUAGGACGUCCCCUUCGGGGGCAGAGUGACAGGUGGUGCAUGGUUGUCGUCAGCUCGUGUCGUGAGAUGUUGGGUUAAGUCCCGCAACGAGCGCAACCCUUGAUCUUAGUUGCCAGCAUUCAGUUGGGCACUCUAAGGUGACUGCCGGUGACAAACCGGAGGAAAGGUGGGGAUGACGUCAAAUCAUCAUGCCCCUUAUGACCUGGGCUAC
rnacentral:rRNA from 1 species